rnacentral:rRNA from 2 species
GGAGGAAAAGAAACUAACAAGGAUUCCCCUAGUAACUGCGAGUGAAGAGGGAAAAGCUCAAAUUUAAAAUCUGAUAGUCUUUGGCUGUCCGAGUUGUAAAUUAGAGAAGUGUUAUCYGCUCAAGCCUGUGCAAAAGUCUCUUGGAAAAGGGCAUCAUAGAGGGUGACAAUCCCGUCUUUGGCACAGAUCACUUGYGCUUUUGUGAUGCGCUCUCGAUGAGUCGAGUUGUUUGGGAAUGCAGCUCCAAAUGGGUGGUAAAUUCCAUCUAAAGCUAAAUAUUGGCGAGAAACCGAUAGCGCACAAGUACCGUGAGGGAAAGAUGAAAAGAACUUUGAAAAGAGAGUUAAACAGUACGUGAAAUUGUUGAAAGGGAAACGCUUGAAGUCAGUCGUAUCCUUCAGAAUCAACCCUUACUUUGGUUGGGCAUACUUUUUGUUGGAUGGGUCAGCAUCAAUUUUGAUCAUUGGAUAAAGGACUUGGGAAUGUGGCAUCUUUAGAUGUGUUAUAGCCCUUGUUUGUAUACAAUGAUUGGGAUUGAGGAACUCAGUGUGACUUUGGUCUGGGGGUAUUACCUCACACACGCACUUAGGAUGCUGGCAUAAUGGCUUUAAUCGACCCGUCUUGAAACACGGACCAAGGAGUCUAACAUGCAUGCGAGUGUUUGGGUGGAAAACUCAAGCGCGUAAUGAAAGUGAAAGUUGAGAACCCUGUCGUGGGGUGCACUGACGCCCGGUCUUGACCUUUUGUGACGGACCUGCGGUAGAGCAUGUAUGUUGGGACCCGAAAGAUGGUGAACUAUGCCUGAAUAGGGUGAAGCCAGAGGAAACUCUGGUGGAAGCUCGUAGCGAUUCUGACGUGCAAAUCGAUCGUCAAAUUUGGGUAUAGGGGCGAAAGACUAAUCGAACCAUCUA